GAAACGAACGUGUACAACUACUUCCCCUACACCGCAUCGAACCCGAUCCGCUCUGAAAACGCACGCUUCGAAGGUAUAACUCCGAGACGACCGCCCGUGGACGAAUGCAUGUGUGUUGUAUGAAAUGCUCGUGUGUGCAUCGUGUCUGAGUUGUCAUUGCACAUUCCUCCUCGUUUGCCAUGCCGUCGACCCGUGGGAACCCGUUAACUGGGAUUACCCCACCAUCCUUGCAUGAACCGUUCAUCCACACUUUCUUUUGCACCGACAUCUCGACGAGUUGUCGGAUCAUCGGGAUGUUGUCGUGGCACCAUUUUCAUUGUCGUUGCCGUGGCUCCCCUUUCGUUCCACCACGGUAACAAAAGCUUCAUAACAUGCUCAUGUCAACUUUUUCAUAAAAUUGCUUAAAACUUGCAUUGUCAUUCGCAUCAUGAUAACAACAUUUAAAAUGUUUAUAUUUGUUGUUUCCAUUAAUUUGCUAAAUGCAUAUGGGGAUUUACCGUAUUUGUUGUUUGCUAUAUCCGGCCCUAUUUAAAUUGUUUAGAUGGUAUAGUUUUGUUAUGCUUCACCUCUUGCCAUGUUAACCAACAUUUAAUAUUGUUGUGUACCUAAAGGAGAUUAAACUAAAUAUGUCCAUGUGGUGUUUUGUCAAUAUGCAACUCGUUGCAUAUUGAGCUCCACUUAAUUUGUAGUAUUGUUUGUUGCACUUUGCCAUGCCAUGCCUCUUUAAACCGGACAUGCAUCAUACUUGUGUGUGUGGCAUGCCAUGUUUAUGUGAUGUUUGUUUACCAUGUUGUUUGCUUCUUUCCGGGUUGCCUUCGGUUUCGUUCCGGAGUUGUGAGGAUUCGUUCGACUACGUCUGCUUGUCUUCUUCAUGGACUCGUUCUUCUUCCUUGCGGGAUUUCAGGCAGGAUGACCACUACCCUGGAUCUCACUACUAUCAUUGCUAUGCUAGUUGUUUCGUUCUAUCGCUAUGCUGGGUUACCUAUCUUUUGCUCCUCAAGCCUCCCCAAAUUGCCAUGAACCUCUAACCUUUGACACCCUUCCUAGCAAACCGUUGCUUGACUAUGUUACCGCUUUGCUCAGCCCUCUUAUAGCGUUGCUAGUUGCAGGUGAAGUUGAAGGUUGCCCCAUGAUGGACAGGAUUAUGUUGGGAUAUCACAAUAUCUCUUAUAUUAUUAAUGCAUCUAUAUAGUUGGUAAAGGGUGUUAGGCUCGGCCUUAUACCUGGUGUUUUGUUCCACUCUCGCCGCCCUAGUUUCCGUCAUACCGGUAUUAUGUUCCCGGAUUUUGCAUUCCUUAUGUGGUUGGGUGAUUUAUGGGACCCCCUUGACAGUUCGCUUUGAAUAAAACUCCUCCAGCAAGGCCCAACCUUGGUUUUACCAUUUGCCUCACCACCACCUAUUUUUCCCUUGGGAGUAAUUAACCCAAGGGUCAUCUUUAUUAUAGCCCCCCCGGGCCAGUGCUUGUCUAAGUGUUGGUCCGAACUAGAGCCCUUUGCAGCGCCCCCUCAGGGAAACUUGAGGUCUGGUUUUAGUUGUACGAAUUGCUUAUCUGGUGUUGCCCUGAGAACGAGAUAUGUGCAGCUCCUAUCGGGAUUGUCGGCGCAUCGGGCGGUCUUUCUGGUUUUGUUUUACCAUUGUCGAAAGGUCUUGUAAACCGGGAUUCCGAGUCUGAUCGGGUCUUCCUGGGAGAAGGUAUAUCCUUCGUUGAUCGCGAGAGCUUAUCAUGGGCUAAGUUGGGACACCCCUGCAGGGUAUAAACUUUCGAAAGUCGUGCCUGCGGUUAUAGGCAGAUGGGAAUUUGUUAAUGUCUGGUUGUAGAUAACUUGACACCAGAUCCGACAUCAACCACGUGUGUAGCCGUGAUGGUCUCUUUUCGGCGGAGUCCGGGAAGUGAACACGGUCUUUGGGUUAUGUUUGACGUAAGUAGGAGUUCAGGAUCACUUCUUGAUCAUUGCUAGUUUCACGACCGUUUCGCUUGCUCUCUUCUCACACUUAUUUGUGUAUGUUAGCCACCAUAUAUGCUUAGUCGCUGCUGCAGCCUCACCACUUUACCCCUUCGUUUCCCUUUAAGCUUUGCUAGUCUUGAUACCCAUGGUAAUGGGAUUGCCGAGUCCUCGUGGCUCACAGAUUACUACAACAACAGUUGCAGGUACAGGUUAUGCGAUGAUCAUGACGCGAGAGCGAUGCUUUCUUGCGUUGAGUUCUUCUUCUGCUUUUUCGAUCAGGGGAUAGGUUCUAGGUCGGCAGCCUGGGCUAGCAGGGUGGAUGUCGUUUGAGUUUCUAUUUGUGUUUCAUCCGUAGUCGGAUGAUGCUCUUAUGUAUCGUGAUGUUGUAUUCGUGUGGCAUUGUAUGCCUCUUGUAUGUAACCCCAUCUAUUAUGUAAUGUUGAUGUAAUGAUAUCCACCUUGCAAAAGCGUUUCAAUAUGCGGGUCUAUCCUUGGUGGGACCUUUGAGUUCCUUUUGGAUAGGGUCGCAUAUUGGGCGUGACAAGUUGGUAGUCAGAGCCUCGACCGACCAUAGGAUCCCCCUUGAUUGUUGGCCGUUGUUGAGUCUAGGAAAAAAAACUAUUUUGAGUCUUAGGAUUAUAUAUAUCGGAGAGUAGCAUUCUUUUUACUCCUCAGCCCCCUUCGUCGCUCUGGUGAGGACUCUUGACGUAGAUGUUUUGUCUUUCCUCUCCUCAAAUUUCACUAAAAAAAUUUUAGGAUCACGCGGGUAUCUUGGAAUCGUUCCGAUGGUUUUGGACGAGAACAUUGUUCUUAGUGCCUCCUGUCUAUUAUGUGGCUUUGACCCGGGGAGUUGAGCUCCGAGGUGUUGUCGUCACAAUUUUAUCGUUGCAGUUCUGGAAUACCUGAGUUUUGCCGACAUCAAAAAUCUCUUUUAUGCAGUUGUUGGUGAGAUAACCUCGACGCCACCCAGUACUGGGGCGGGAGUUCAGGAGUAUUGCCAUAGCUCGUAUAAUGGAUGCUUUUCGAAGGUUGAGGUACACGAUUUCCGAAGGUUUCUUGGUUAUGUGUUGACGGAUGGAUACAGCUUGGAUGUAGGUAUUGUUAGUUUCGGUGAGAUAUAUUGCUUCCCCUGUAUCCCAAACACCAGAUUGCAUAACCAGAAAGUUUCGGGAGUUUAUAGGUGGGAAUUCAAGUAGCUCCUAGAAUAUCUUUCCGACAGAUGCAUGAUAUGGGAUUGGGUAAAUCUCUAUCAUAUGUAUUUGUUCCGGCUUAUUCUGCAAGCCAAUUCUUUGUUUUGUUUUAUUUGUGGUAUUCGAGUUGCUUCAAUGUCAAGUGUUGAUUCCAUACCUUUUCUAAAUGGUGUUCUCAUAUUUCUAUGGGAGUGCUAAUCCUUUUGAUCAUCGAGAUUGUCAUGUACCGGCGUGCUUCUCUUCAAGUGGAUCCGAUCAUUUUCAACACCCGCAAGAUCAAGUCUAAGUUUUCUCACCGGUGUUUGUUUCAUCCGUCCCCAGGUUGCCUUUGUUUUCCCGCCCUCCCACCCUUUUCUUUAAGGACUCGUUUAUUUUAAUCAAGUAUCCAUUUAUUCAUGUGAAGUCACUUCACUAUUUUCAAUCAAUGUUCUGAUCCGGUGAUCCCUCAUGAAGAUGCUCACGAGCUUCAAGUUCAUCAUCCUCCGUUCUUUUUCUUCUCCGGUGGAUCCAAUUCAAGAUUUCGAUAUUCAUCAUAUUCUUUUCCUCGUUUCUAAUGUUUUCCCAUGCCGGUGCACCUCUUAAUUGUUCACCUUUCUCUAUUCUUAUCCGGAGUGCUCAAGAUAUCUCAGAAGAAUCAUGUUUCCAUUCUUAAUCCGUUCGAGUUACUUCAAGGUUUUUCUCUCAUUCAAGCUAUUUAAUUCAACCGGUGCAAUCUCUAUUUAAAAUCAUUUCAACGGUGUUUCUCUUGAGUGGGCCCUAACCCACAGAUUUUUUCCUAGGAUCUUACCUGACUCUUCUAAUUUUCCCGGAGCUAUUCCCAAAUUCAUUUCAAAGUUUGAUGUAAGAAUGAUUUAUCAUCUGUCAAAUGUCUUUCUCCAAGAUCUUUCAAAUUCUUUUCAUCGUUGAUUCAACCUUUCUAUUAUUCAUUUCGGAGUAUCUCAACAAUUUAUGGUGGUGUUUCUCGUCGUCAUUUCUCAGAUUUUGAAGACCGAAGAAGAGUUCCUCUUAAAUCCUUACCCGUUCUUCCAAAGAUGCGUAGUUCAAGCUUGAUUCCAUCCUCUCAUAAUUGUUUUCGAUUGUGAGAAUUCUUUUCAACCAUCUGAUGCAUUUCAGGAGUCGCUUCCUUUCUUGAUAAUCCAUAUGCCAUCAUUUCUGAAUAUUACUCAUUCUCAACCUUCAACUUUUGUUCUCCAAAUCUUACCGGUGGAUCAUUCAAGUAUUCUCUAAUAAGCUCAUGAUCUCUUCGUUCACUUGUAUCUAAAUCCCCUCAAGUAUCUUCAUUCUUCCCGGUGAAUUGUGCCUUUGCUACUUUCAUUUUCAAUUCUUACGAUGGUUCGUUCAGGAUUUCUCUUCCUCCGUUAUGAUAUCAAAUAUUCGUUGUUUCCAAAUCCCAUCGGUAGUUCCAUCAAUACCUUCUGAAGUUUAUGCUAUAUCUCUCUUAAUUCUUUCUACGAGAAUAAGUAGUAUGCCAAAUCCGUUGCUUGUCAUCAAUUUAAAUUGGUGAAGGAUAGGCAUGACAUAAUUCUUAUUCUUGUUUCAUCCAAGUGAUUAAUUCCUUCUUCUGGAGAUUGUUCAUGAUGAAGUAAUUCUCGGUUCUAGUAUUCAUCUUUUCUUUCCAGAGUUCCAAGUUCUCUCGGUUAUAUCAUCGCAAAGCUCCAUCUAAAUCAUUGCAAGGCUUCACCUUGUGUUUCCAACUUCUCUUUCUUUCUAUCAUCCUUUCAUUGCCGGAGUUCCUCAUGGAGGCUCUACAUGAUGGUUCAUCAAGGAUUUCUUUCAUUCUCAUUUUGUUCUUAAAGAUUUCUCUCGGAGCUAAGAUCCGCCAAGCUAUACUCAAAAAAUAAACAUGGUGCUCAACACAUAUCUUGUUUUGAGGAGUUCAAGUAUUCUUCAUCUUGAACUCCAAAGUGCAAUUCUUUCUACCUUAUCUUUUGAGGUGGUGUUAUGUCACUCUUGACAAUUUCCUUCAUGUUUCAUGAUUCAUAUGUUUUCAAGAAUGAGGUAUUUUAAAUCCAUCAUUUUCUCUUCGUUCAAGAGAUCUUUUCGACCAAUCAACUUCUUCGUUGCAGUUAUCUUGGGUUAUAUUUAACCUAAAGUCUUCCCUAAGGAAUGUUGCUAUUAUGGUGCUUAUCAAUGAUCCAAGUUUUUCUCCUAUCCUCUCGGCGAAAGGAGUUGUCAUCUCCAUGUUGACCUCAAUCCAAUCUAUUGUUUCCGUUAGUGGCAGAAUUUCGCCUCAAUUUUGAGAAGUUUUCCAUAAGCCCACUACAAACUUGUGUUUUUCGUUGUUGAUUUUCGAACAACUCCGUUCAAUCCUUCUUUGCAAGGAUGCUUUCCAAGUUCAUUUAUGGCAGAAAUUGACAUUUUCUUUUCCGCCCCUUUAUCCCAACAAUCUAGCUUCUAUUCUUUCGUUCCGGAGGCAUUGUGAUGUUGCUUUUUUCACUCAUCAUCUUGCUUUGGCAAGAUCAUGUUCUUCUCCUCGCUUCUCCAUUUAACCGGAGUGUUGUGUCAUCUCUUCAAGUUCUUUCAUCUUAUCAAGUUUUGCCUCUCUUUUCAACCUGACUGCUGUCUGAAAUCCUUCUUACCCAUUAUGCCAUUCUUUCAAUACUUCCGGAGGCAGUGUGUUGUUGAUUUCAUCAAGUAUCUUCCCAUCUUCUCAAGUUCAUGUUCUAUUCCUUCCAUGUUCAACCGGAGUGCUGCCCGAAUUCUUCCUCUCUCAUCUUGUUGUAACCGGAGUGGUUUUGAACCCUAUCUUGUCCAUUAAACUCUUGAUUCAUGUCUUUGCAACCUUUAAGUUAUCGUAAUGUUCCUUGUUCCUCUUUUCUAACGGAUUGUUGCAAUCUCAUUCAUCUCUGUUGUGUUCUUUCUUUCAAUUUGUUCAACCUCUCAAGGUUCAUGGUUUCACUCGUUUGUCGAAGAAGCAACUUAGUUUACCUCUUCUUUUCCUCUUCUGUUUCUCUCCGGUGCCAUCCUAGAUCUCGGGACGAGAUCCUCUUGUAGUGGUGGAGUGUUGUAACGCCCCGAGACCGACGCUCCAGAAUACUUCCAGCUAUUUCAAGUUUUGUCGUGUGAUUUGUUUUGUUUGAUGCAUUCAUCAUUGCACUUUUGCAUUGCAUCAUGUCGUCUUGCAACCCCCUUUUUAAAACUCACCUAAAUAAAUUGCAUGGAUCAUUGAUCUACUUAAAUCGAGGGAUAUUCACAUGGUGAUUUCUCUUUAAAACAUAUUCAAAGUCUCCUACUAUUUUUAGGGAGCUAAUAAAUAUUCCACUAAUUUGGAAUUCACCAUAACACACUUGCAAAAUAUUCCAUGCCUUUGUUAUAUCACUUCUUGACCUCAAACUUUGUCCAUAAAUUCUUUCAUCGCUUUCCGGAGCUCCACCAAAAAUCUCAACAUUUUGGCCACUCCUAAACCUUGUCCUAGUUCAAACCAUUUGAAUUAAUUCAAAUAAGUUUGAAUUUAAAUCUUGCAUUCGUGCCAACUUCUUUUUUCUUGGGUCAAGCUUAUUUUUAUGAGCCCAGGAAAACUGUCUUCGUGCGCAAAUUCUUCCCCUAACCCUCUCUUUCCUUCUCUUCUCUCUAUUUCUUUUCUGCUAAAGAAUAGAAGGGAGGGAGAGAGAGUCCAGCCCAGCUGGGCGUCCUAGCCCAUAGCACCAGCACACCUCAUUAGGCCCAGCCGGCCCCAGCUCCAUAACCCUAGCUACCCUGAUCCCCUCCUCUCGAUCCCCAUCUCUCCCUCUCGUUCCUGUCCGCCGCACGCACGCACGCACAGAGGAGCGCGCCCUUGCCCCGUCCCUGUCCGCCACUCCCCCUGCUCCUCUACGCGGUGCCGACCGGCGACCAAGACGAACGGGAACCGCGCCGGAGCUCCUUCCUCUAUGCCCUCUCCUGGAGCCGCUCGCUGCUGCUGCUCUUCAUCGAGGCGCAAGUCCCGCCGCGGCUGCUGCUCUGCUCCUGCCCCACCGGUCGCCUCUGCCUCGACCCCGCGUCCUCGCCUCCGGCUACCGUCGCAGCUCCGUGCACCCUGGCCCCCUCGUGCCUCAACGGAGCAGGUCCCCGCGCCCCACGACUUUGUCUGCGUCGUCUCCUGCUCCUCGCCUCAAGCGCCGACGCUCCAAGGACGGCCUCCUGCAGUUUGUCGUUGCCGGAGCUCCCCACCUCCAGCAAGCAGCCAACCUCGCCACCGUCGCCAUCAACCCCUCCACCUGCGUCCUGCACACCACUGCCCCGAGCGCCCCUGUCCUCGAGCACCUGUUAACUUCGGUUACGGUCAAGCGCUCUGACCCGUUGCUGCCAUUGCCUUGCAUCCAUCUGGCCCUGUUGUGUUCAUGGAGCCACUGUACCAUGGCCAAGACUGAGACCGCCAAGUCCGAAGACCCCAAGUACCACGACUACCCUCGAGGACGUUGGCUCCGUCAAGUUCGACUACAACUCGUGUACGACUACCGUCGCCGUGUACCACUACUUCCACUAUCGUCGCCCCGAAGAUGUUGGAUUCGUCAAGUACCUCUCCGAAACGAACGUGUACAACUACUUCCCCUACACCGCAUCGAACCCGAUCCGCUCUGAAAACGCACGCUUCAAAGGUAUAACUCCGAGACGACCGCCCGUGGACGAAUGCAUGUGUGUUGUAUGAAAUGCUCGUGUGUGCAUCGUGUCCGAGUUGUCAUUGCACGUUCCUCCUCGUUUGCCAUGCCAUCGACCCGUGGGAACCCGUUAAUCGGGAUUACCCCACCAUCCUUGCAUGAACCGUUCAUCCACACUUUCUUUUGCACCGACAUCUCGACGAGUUGUCGGAUCAUCGGAAUGUUGCCGUGGCACCAUUUUCAUUGUCGUUGUCGUGGCACCCCUUUCGUUCCACCACGGUAACAAAAGCUUCAUAACAUGCUCAUGUCAAC
rnacentral:lncRNA from 1 species